rnacentral:rRNA from 1 species
UACGUAGGGGGCUAGCGUUGUCCGGAUUUAUUGGGCGUAAAGAGCGUGUAGGCGGCCAGGUAGGUCCGUUGUGAAAACUGGAGGCUUAACCUCCAGCUGUCGAUGGAAACCAUCUGGCUAGAGUCCGGAAGAGGAGAGUGGAAUUCCCGGUGUAGCGGUGAAAUGCGUAGAUAUCGGGAGGAACAUCAGUGGCGAAGGCGGCUACCUGGCCCAAUACUGACACUCAGGUGCGACAGCGUGGGGAGCAAACAGG